rnacentral:lncRNA from 1 species
GAGAAAAUAAUCCGAGGGCUGCUGAAGCUUCAUGCGAACCGGAGAUGCAUUAAUUGCAAUAAUCUGGUAUUUCUUUUCUUUCGUUGUGUUGUGCACAUGUGUCAAGCAGGUCGUCGGAGACCGCACGCUCCGCCCCACGAAGUAUUGCCCGCUUUGGCUGGGUCCGGACCGGGAGCGUGCCCAGUGGUCCCCACCGGGGGUUGUCCCCCCAGCGUUACGCAAACGGCCUCACGGUUUUGUCCCUUGCAUUGGGGUUCACCCCGCAAAAGGCGCCUCGUGAGGGAAGGUGUGCUCGUAUCCCUCUUAAGCAUAUGCACACACCAGAGUUGCCCGAUGUGGGACUAUUAAGGGAGGUCCUCCCACAGCCUGCCCACAACAGAUGCCCCCCACUCUGGAGGGUGCAGGUGUUGAGCGACAGGGGGCGGGUUACCCCUACCUGGCGCGCCACUGUUGUGCACAUGUGUCAAGCAGGUCGUCGGAGACCGCACGCUCCGCCCCACGAAGUAUUGCCCGCUUUGGCUGGAUCCGGACCGGGAGCGUGCCCAGUGGUCCCCACCGGGGGUUGUCCCCCAGCGUUACGCAAACGGCCUCACGGUUUUGUCCCUUGCAUUGGAGUUCACCCCGCAAAAGGCGCCUCGUGAGGGAAGGUGUGCUCGUAUCCCUCUUAAGCACAUGCACACACCAGAGUUGCCCGAUGUGGGACUAUUAAGGGAGGUCCUCCCACAGCCUGCCCACAACACGUUGAUUAAUAUUCUUCAAUUUGAAGCCACAUCUUGAAAGGAAGAACAGAAACGUAAUCUUGUCAUGCAAACAAGUCCAGGAUUAUAAGGAAAAAAGGUUUUGAUAAUCGGAGAGGUGAAUACGUGAAUCCGUGAAUGGGUGAAUUGUUGGGAUCGAAAGAAUGCUCACGUAUAUAGUCGGAUAUUUCUCACUUCUUUCAUGUUUUAUAAACCAGAUGAUGUUCUGGUGACCGGCAGAUUUAGGGUGGGAUGUGGAGAGUGAAACCCUAGCCCAAAGCUCGCGAGCAGUUCUACAUUAUUUUAUUAAUCAUUAGCCAUGGGAAAACGAUGCUACUAGGCUGCUCAUUUAUCUAACAGUUCCUUGGCCACCAUGGCGUUGGGAUGGCAUACCAUGAUUGGAGAACCCUUAUGAGUUGCACAAACCCAUUUGAAUCGCACUCAGCACACAUUAACUGUCACGCCCCCGAUCCGAGAUUGUGAAUCAAGGGUCGCGGCAACCGCUGCAUACUCAUGAAGA